UACAGAGGUGGCAAGCGUUGUUCGGAAUUACUGGGCGUAAAGGGCGCGUAGGCGGCCUUCUAAGUCAGACGUGAAAUCCCCCGGCUUAACCUGGGAACUGCGUCUGAUACUGGGAGGCUUGAGUAUGGGAGAGGGAUGUAGAAUUCCAGGUGUAGCGGUGAAAUGCGUAGAUAUCUGGAGGAAUACCGGUGGCGAAGGCGGCAUCCUGGGCCAUAACUGACGCUGAGGCGCGAAAGCUAGGGGAGCAAACGGG
rnacentral:rRNA from 1 species